AGGAAAGUUUAAUCUGUGGAGGGGGAGGCCCCCAUCAAGCGAAGCCACAGAGAGCUUCUCUUGGUAGAGUGGGCGGGGAGAAUCUGAUUAAUUUUUUUUGGGGGAAAGUAGAAACUUAGUAUGCUACCUCGGGAAACAGGGCUUCGGACGGGAUGAUUGAGGAUGUUUAUGUGGGGGAAAGACCAGGGAUCCGUAGUGGUUGAGAGGAACACCACACUGGAUUGAGCACGUCCAAUCUCGGAGGCACAUGGGGAAUAUUGACAAUGGGCGCAACUGAUCCACAUCGCUGGUGAGAAGCUUGGGUUGUAACCCUUUUGUUGGGAAAAAAUCCAGCCGGUWAUACCGGUUGGGAUGCGGUACCCAAAGAAUACACCGGUAACUUGUGCCACACCGGGAAACGAAGGGUGCAAGCGUUCUGGAAUUCUGGGCGUAAACGUGCGUAGGUGGUCGUUUAAGUUGUUGUGAAAGCCCUGGCUCAACCUGGAACUGCAGUGGAAACUGGACGAUAGWGUGUGGUAGAGGGUAGCGGAAUUCUGGUGUAGCAGUGAAAUGCGUAGAGAUCAGGAGGAACAUCCAUGGGAAGGCAGCUACCUGGACCAACACUGACACUGAGGCACGAAAGCGUGGGGAGCAAACAGGAUUAGAUACCCGGUAGUCCACGCCCUAAACGAUGCGAACUGGAUGUUGGGUGCAAUUUGGCACGCAGUAUCGAAGCUAAGUAAGUUCGCCGCCUGGGGAGUACGGUCGCAAGCCGUUUCAAWKGAUUGACGGGGCCCGCCAGCGAGGCUUCAGACAUCAGCUCC
rnacentral:rRNA from 1 species